UAUAAAAAAAAUGAAUCACGCAUCACGUGACUUAUAUAUGGGAAAACCCCAAAUUUGUUCUGUGAUGAUUGUGCAAGAACGCUGGUUUUAUUCGUAAACUGUGAUUAUGAAGAUGACAAAAUGGAUCAAAUAACCUCCCAGUUAUGAUCAGAGAUUGAUUGUUGGGAACAUGUCCGUAGAUGUAGAUGUAGAUAACGAUAGUUUACUUAAUAUUGACAUUUCUAUUCGAAAAUGUGAAAUGACCUCAAAGUUAAAAUUGGAACAAAAUACAGAACAUACAAACGUUCAGUUUCUUGUUAUAUAACAUUGGAUCAGAGGUAAAUAAAUGCACUGACCUCCAGAUCGUACGACAACAAAACAGACAAUUUUCAGAUAUCAGGCGCAAGCAAAAAUUGAUGAUGACAACAGAGAAGUACCUGAUCUGGGACCAUCCAACUCUACAAGCUUCUUAAGUGAAAUCUAUCUUAACCCAGCAGAGACAGAAGACGUCUUUAAAUCAUUACAACUUCAUAAAGCCGCAGGUCCCGAUGGUAUUCACCAUCAACGGAAACGGCUCCUUACAGUGUUGAAUACACGUGUCACAUGAUGACAUCUUCAAGUAGCAGUUAGCAGUUUCCAGUCAUAGAUUCGAGUCGGCCGUUGCCAAAAUCUUACCUUAAAAUAAAGGUAAUUAGAAGGGCAUUAUCUACAAUAAAUGAAAUGAUUCAUUUACAUUGGAUGACAGCGGUCAUUGGCCUGCACAAUCUCAAGGAAGGGUUGCAGUAUUUUUGUGAUGAUGUAGUAAAAGAACUACAUGCUACAAUAAGGGAAAGAUGUCCCGAAAAUUGUAAUGUGUGUAAAUUGGAUAUACUUCAACCUAAUCACAAAUGCGUGGACAAAAGGUGUCCUCUAGGAUAUCAAAAUUGCAACUGCCGUAAAACAAAUACCGACCUUAUACCAUGUCCGAAAAGGAUUUGCGGCUUUAUAUAUGAUGAAAUUAUUAAGUUACAUGGAUCGACCCCUCCAGCGCCAAACUGGAAGAAUACAGAUAUCACCCAAUGGUGCACGAACCCUUGGGCCGUUGCCACAUGCUUUAUUCCAACUACAGGCUAUUUUGAUAGGAAAUGUGUAGCAGAGUUCGAUUGCUCCGGAUUAUUGCUACUUAUCAUGAACAACAAAGCCUUUCUUAAACAUCUUGACUGCAGCAUAGAUGGGAAUGACGCUUUCUCGCAGGCCUAUAAAAUAAGGAAUGAGUUGUUCCAUUCACCAUCACUAGAACUGAAGAAGGUACAGGCGGAUAUAUAUAUAUUGAUAAUAUGAUAAAGGUCCUGCAAGACAAAAGGGUGCUAGUCGGAAGGAAGGAAUCAAUCAAGGCCGUUGAAAAGUUGCUUGAUCUGAAAGAGAGGGGUAUUCAAAGAGAGUUGGAUGUGGAUAAAAUAAGCAACUUAAUAGAAACUGGUCAGCAAGAUUUGAUACAAUAUUUGCAGGAGAAACUAAGUAGCCUUUUGUUACAAACGCGUGAUCAGACUUCAGGAACACGAGACCCUGGAGUCACACAGAAACGGAAACUGGACACAUCUGUCGCAGAACAAGCAGACAAAGGAAAAAGUUUACAAGACUUAGCAUAUCAGGUCCAGUCGAUGUCAUCUGAAGUUGCUUCUAUA